rnacentral:rRNA from 1 species
GACGAACGCUGGCGGCGUGCCUAAUACAUGCAAGUCGAGCGAAGCUUUUCUGUUGCUUGCACUAGAAAAACUUAGCGGCGAACGGCUGAGUAACACGUUAAGAACCUCCCUCAUAGACUGGUACUACUAUCUGAAACUAUAGCUAUUACCCGAUAACAAUAUUUCUAGCAUGUGAGCUAUUUAAAAGUUGUUUAUGCUCACACUAUUAGAUGGCUUUGUAGUGCAUUAGCUAGUUGGUGGGGUAAAGGCCCACCAAGGAGACGAUGCAUAGCCGACCUGAGAGGAUGAUCAGCCACACUGGGACUGAGACACGGCCCAGACUCCUACGGGAGGCAGCAGUAGGGAAUCUUCCGCCAUGGGCGAAAGCCUGACGGAGCAACGCCGCGUGAGUGAAGAAGGAUUUCGGUUCGUAAAGCUCUGUUGUUAGGGAAGAAUGGAUAUGUAGUAACUAUAGAUGUAAGUGACGGUACCAACAGAAAAAGCCACGGCUAACUACGUG